rnacentral:rRNA from 1 species
GAUGAACGCUAGCGGCAGGCCUAAUACAUGCAAGUCGGACGGGAUCCAUUGAUAGCUUGCUAUCAAUGGUGAGAGUGGCGCACGGGUGCGUAACGCGUGAGCAACCUGCCUCCAUCAGGGGGAUAGCCUCUCGAAAGAGAGAUUAACACCGCAUAAUAUCAACAGUUCGCAUGUUCAGUUGUUUAAAUAUUUAUAGGAUGGAGAUGGGCUCGCGUGACAUUAGCUAGUUGGUAGGGUAACGGCUUACCAAGGCGACGAUGUCUAGGGGCUCUGAGAGGAGAAUCCCCCACACUGGUACUGAGACACGGACCAGACUCCUACGGGAGGCAGCAGUAAGGAAUAUUGGUCAAUGGGCGGAAGCCUGAACCAGCCAUGCCGCGUGCAGGAUGACUGCCCUAUGGGUUGUAAACUGCUUUUGUCCAGGAAUAAACCUAAAUACGAGUAUUUAGCUGAAUGUACUGGAAGAAUAAGGAUCGGCUAACUCCGUG